rnacentral:rRNA from 1 species
GAUGACCGCUGGCGGCGUGCCUAAUUCAUGCAAGUCGAGCUCAGCGGGGACGGGUGAGUCACACGUGGAUAACCUCCUAUAAGCCUGGGAUAACUUCGGGAAACCGGGGCUAUACCGGCUACUUAUAGAUGGAUCCGCGCUGCAUUAGCUAGUUGGUAAGGGAACGGCUUACCAAGGCAACGAUGCAUAGCCGACCUGCUAGGGUGAUCGGCCACACUGGAACUGAGACACGGUCCAGACUCCUACGGGAGGCAGCAGUAGGGAAGCUUCCGCAAUGGGCGAAAGCCUGACGGAGCAACGGCGAGUGAGUGAUGAAGGUCUUCGGAUCGUAAAACUCUGUGAUUAGGGAAGGGGUACCUAAUCAGAAAGCCACGGCUAACUACGUGCCAGCAGCCGCGGUAAUUC